rnacentral:rRNA from 1 species
GAUAAACGCUGGCGGCGUGCCUAAUACAUGCAAGUCGAGCGAAUGGAUUAAGAGCUUGCUCUUAUGAAGUUAGCGGCGGACGGGUGAGUAACACGUGGGUAACCUGCCCAUAAGACUGGGAUAACUCCGGGAAACCGGGGCUAAUACCGGAUAAUAUUUUGAACUGCACGGUUCAAAAUUGAAAGGCGGCUUCGGCUGUCACUUAUGGAUGGACCCGCGUCGCAUUAGCUAGUUGGUGAGGUAACGGCUCACCAAGGCAACGAUGCGUAGCCGACCUGAGAGGGUGAUCGGCCACACUGGGACUGAGACACGGCCCAGACUCCUACGGGAGGCAGCAGUAGGGAAUCUUCCGCAAUGGACGAAAGUCUGACGGAGCAACGCCGCGUGAGUGAUGAAGGCUUUCGGGUCGUAAAACUCUGUUGUUAGGGAAGAACAAGUGCUAGUUGAAUAAGCUGACACCUUGACGGUACCUAACCAGAAAGCCACGGCUAACUACGUGCCAGCCGCCGCAGUAA